rnacentral:lncRNA from 1 species
GCGCGGGCGGCGCGGGGCGCGCGGAGGGCGCGGGCCGGAGGCUGCAGCGACGACGACGCGGGGUGAGCCAGACAGGGGGACCCCAGCUUCCGAGGCACAAUCAGGGAGUCGGGGGCGCAGGAAACGCAGACGGUUUCCAAAGUUGCGGACUGUGAGGCGGGGCCCAGGAGCUGCGGGGUGCAGGCUGAGGGGUUGGGAUCCUGGGGUGCCGGCUAGGGGGCCGGCUCAGGUGCUGGCUGGGGCGCGGGGCGCGUCUUCACCGGGUUCCUCAGCCGAGGUCCGGGUGUUGGGGACGCCGCAUCGCGAGGCUCCGCCACUUAGAAGUUGCGGGUCAGCGGCUCCCGUAGUUGCCCUCACGAGCUGCCCUGGAGGGAGUGGGAACCGGUGCCAAAUGGGAAGCCGGCGUGGGGCUCCUGGCAGGGUCCCCGCCGCGCGCGAUCGCGGUUCUCCGCCCCGCGCCUCUGCUCCAAGGCGCGUGACUACUCAGUGAGUAACUUUUCCUGAUGGUGGCAAGUCCAGGCAGGAGUGGUCCGACCGGAAGGGCCUGGGUUCGGGGACCCCUUUCCCCCAAUCUCCGCCAGUUCCAUUAGCGUCUCUGACUGGACAACCCCCCUACCCUCCCUCUGUAUGGGAACUUAGGUUUCGCAGCUUCCCAAGACAGCUUGGAGGGGCCCUGACCUCAGACCCCGGGUCUUGACCUCCCGCACCCGCAGGACCCUCCUUCUCCUCCAAUCUCCUUAGUUGAAAUUUGGGGGACUUAGGAGAAUGACAGGUGCAAGCGUUCAUAGGAGGCUGGGGAGCUCCGUUCUCCCGGUCCUGUUCCCUGUUCACAUGGUGGGGACUAGGAUGAACCGCUGUGUGCAAUGCGUGCUUGUGUGUGUGUGUGUGCCUGUGCGUUGAGACAUGGUCCCACUCUGUAGCCCAGGUUGGCUUCAAAGUCUCCUCAUUCUCCCCAGUGCUGGUGCCACCAUACCAGGCUUUCAUUUUUUCCUUUUAAGUAAGCUCCCUGGAGACUCAGACACAGAGUUAUCUGGGCUAAGUGGUCCUUUCUCUCUCUCUCCUCUCUCUCUCUCUCUCUCUCUCUCUCUCUCUCUCUCUCUCUCUCUCUCUCUCUCUCUCUCUCUCUCUCUCUCUCUCUCUCUCUCUCCUCUCUCUCUCUCUCCCUCCCUCCCUCCCUCCCUCCCUCCCUUCCUUCCUAGAGUUAUUUAUUUUAUUUAUACAAGUACACUGUAGCUGUCUUCAGACACAUCAGAACAGGGCAUCCAAUCCCAUUACAGAUGGCUAUGAGCCACUAUGUGGUUGCUGGGAAUUGAACUCAGGACCUCUGGAAGAGCAGUCAGUGCUCUUACCCACUGAACCAUCUCUUCAGCCCCGAAGUGGUCCAUUUGUGGGAUCAGCGAGGUCCUGAUUUUCCUGUUAGGUCCCUGGAAGCACUCCACUUUUACUCCUUGAGAUGGGUUUAUCCCUCCAUGAUGACCAGGGAGGCCUUGAACUCCUGGGAUGCAUGAUCUAACCGCCUUGGCUUUCAGAUAGAUAAAACCACAGGGCCUCACCACGGAUCCAGCUUUGUCCCACAUUUUGAUGCAAGGCCCUCUGGGAGGAGAGGGGGGCUGUUGGAUGGGAGGGGAUGAAUGAGAUGUUCCACUCGGUUGAUCUUGACCUCAUGUUCAGUUCCUGUGGGAGGACACUUGCCCAGUGGUGGGUAACCUGGACAGUGAGUAUAAUCCUGCGUGCCAACAACCAGGCUAUUCUCCAAGCCAUAUCCUACCUACCCUUGCAGUUUGGUGGCACUGUAUCACCUCUCUGGUGACACUAGAGAUCUAGAGAUCACUCAGUCCAGUUGUGGGGGCUUCUCCCAAAAGCAGGGCCUUUUGUUUAUGCCUACAGCUCAGUUGAUAGAGAGCUUGCAUGGGAUGCAGGAUGCUCUGGGCUCCAUCCUCAGCACCACAUGAACCAAGAAUGAUGGCACAAGCUGCCGUCCCAGCAUUUAGGAGGUGGAGGCCAGAGGAUCAAGAGUUCAAGGUUGCUGUUGGCUGCAAAGUGAUUUCAAGGCCAGUCUGGGCUGGGACUGAGGAAGUGGGUGUCUGACCAGCAGCUGCUCCUUUCCUGCCUCGCUGGUUUUGUGAAGUCACCUGGAGGACCCACUUGGCCUGAGUAUCCUUGGAGCCUUACUCACAAUCUUCUUCUUUCCCUAGGGGACAAACAAGUGACUCCUGUCACCCCUCUGGGUGCCCCUUAGAGGCCAUCCAGCCCAACCUGACCAAUGUCCACAGCCAGGUGAGCACUCACCCACUCUGGUCUGGCCUUGCCCCUGGGUGGCAUCAGACUCCUGCAGAGUUUCUGUCCCUGCUGUAGGGAACAGCCAAUCUUCAGCACCCGGGCGCACGUAUUCCAGAUCGACCCCACUACAAAGCGGAACUGGAUCCCCGCCGGCAAGCACGCACUUACCGUGUCCUAUUUCUAUGAUGCAACCCGAAAUGUGUACCGCAUCAUCAGCAUCGGGGGUGCCAAGGUCUGAGCAGGGGUUUGGGGGCAGGUGUGCAGCCACCAGCCAGGCUGGGUGACUUGGGAAUCAACGAUCCUUUCCCAGACCUAACGUCUUCCAGAAAUAACUCAGUGGUGGGGUCUCCGAGAAGGGACAAGAGUUCUACUGCAGCCCUUCACUGGGGGAUUCUAGGCAGGGGCUCCACCUGUAUGCCUUCCGAUAGCUCCUCACUGGGGGAUCCUAGGUAGGGAUUAGCUACUAAGACAGAUGCCUAGAGUUCCUUUUUUAAUUUUUAACUCCAGUGUGUAGUCUUCAACUUGAAUGCUCCUUCUCCAGCAGUCUGUCAGGCUAGUUGCUCCUGGCGCUCAUUAUCUUCUGACCUGGAAUCUUGCUUCCCCCACCUCUAGGCCAUCAUCAACAGCACUGUCACUCCCAACAUGACCUUCACCAAAACCUCUCAGAAGUUCGGGCAAUGGGCAGACAGUCGAGCCAACACUGUCUACGGCCUAGGCUUUGCCUCUGAACAGCAGCUGACCCAGGUGGGCAGAGACAUGGGCAGUGGUUGGCAUCUGUGUUCCUCAGGGUGGGCUGAUGGGUGACAGGCCUUCUUGAGUGCCCUGGGUGCUGUGGUCAUUUGCCAACUUGCUUCAACCCCUCAAACCUCUCAGCAGCUUUGGGUGGAAGCCUGGACUGGGCACAUCCCCUGCCCCCGCUGCACCUCUCUCCAACUUCUAACAUCACUACUUAGUAAUGAGGCCAUUAUCUUUUUCAGAUAUAUUUGUAUGCGUUUGUGUGCAUUUGCAUGCAUUUGUAUGUGCACAGGCCAUGUGUGUGCUGAUACCUCCAGAGGUCAGAGGGGGACAUCAGAUCUCCUGGAGCAGGAGGAACGGGCCAUGGUUAAGGCUCCUGACAUAGGUGCUGGGAGCUGAACUCACGUCUUUUAGAAGCAUUCUUAGCUACUGAGGCAUCUCUCUAGCUCCUCAAAUUUUUUUAAUU